GGUCCCCUGCCUGUGGGCUCAUCUUCUGGCAUCACUGCCCUGAGAGAGUAAGGCGAUAGCAGCAUGGCUUGUCCUCUGCCUGUGAGCUUAUCUUCUAACAUCCUCAGGUCCCUUGCCUGUGGAAUCAUCUUCUUGCACCACUGCCCUGAUAGAGUAAGGCAAUAGCAGCCUGGUUGGUCCCCUGCGUGUGAGUUCAUCUUCUGACAUCACUACCUUGAUACAAUUUGGGAAGACCUUGCCUCCUGUUGAAGGUGGUGCAAUGGCUGCCUACAUUGAGACCGGCUGACAUAUCCUGCAUCAUGAUGCGAAUUGAAGGACCAGCGAUGAAAUCCCCAUAGCUACAGACAUAUGACAUUAUGUCAAAAGUAGCACAGACAUUGUUGACAUGGAAGCUGUGUGUUAGAACCAUAGCUACAAUGCCAAUUAGAAGAGCGCCCUCACCUCCUUCAAUGAGGAGAGAAGCAAGAUGGAAGACAAGAUCCCAUAGGACUUCCCAGAGAUGAUCCAACAAGCACGUCAAGAAGAGGAAGUAACUCAGAUAGAUGCCAGUCCUCACCUCCAUCACUGAGGAGGAAAGUUCCCAAGACUGCAUGAGGGAUCCUUAUCAGAAUCAAAGGCAUUGAUUCACAAAGGCAAGGAAGGACUCGGUCUUCUCAGAGAUGCAGUUCUUUGCUUCCACUUUAGUACAUGAUGGAGCAAGUCUGUCUGCAUUUAUGCACUACUCAAAAGGAUCAAAGAUCAGAAUUUAAAAAAAAAGAUUCAGAUUGUAACAUUUGAGUGUCAAUUAGUGUGGUUAUGUUUUGGCAACAAAACAAAAACUUUAUUGGUUCCAGUCCAAUGCAAACUUUUUCUACAGAGUGCUAUAGUCCCAUGACACUGAAAAACACUUUGGUCAGCACCUUGUCUAAGUCUCCUAUACAGCCCUAAAAAGGAUGACAGUGGAGUUUGGGGAGAACAUGAGUUGUUAGAAUGAUAUUCUGAUCAGUGUUGUAAUCAAGACCACUUAAGCACUCACAAGAUCAACACAAGACCUCCAGUCUGAAUUCAAGUCACAAGCUAUUCAAAUAAACUGCAACAAAAUCAUUCCUAUGUCAAAAUGAUGUAAACUAAACCAGUGUUACUUUAAUGACUGAUAGUAGCAACUCAAAUGAAGUUUCAAUCCUGUGACACAAUUUGGGUGGGUAAUUUAUGGCAGUUCAAUGGCAAAGAAUACUCUGGUAUGGCAAAUUAUGGCUUGGCAAAAUACAGAAGUGACUGGCGGUGGCGAGGUGGUUAACAACAGAGGUGGUGACGCUAAGAUGGUGUGGCAACAUUGUGGUGUAGUAGCUAGAACUUGGUAACUUGAACUUGGUGGUGGUGGUUCAACUAUAAUUUAAAUACAAAACAAAAAUUACUAAAUAAUAUAUCAAAUUAUAGACAUGUCUGUCCUUGCCUAUAACGUGUACAUGUACAGCACAAUCACUUGUAUUGUAUCUAAACCCUAAAUACUCAUGUACCUUGCCGGGAAGUCUCUUAGAAUAUAAGAAAAUAACAAACUUCUCCAAAAACAGGGCGGUAUGCAAGACCUACAUAUGCUUCACGCAGAGCGCCCCCAUUUGUUAGGAAAAUUUUUUGACAAAACUCCCCAUUUAUGGCUUUCAUCGGUUACAAACUUAGUAUAGAAAUUAUCCAUCCGGAACUAAAGAUCGCUACUCUUUUUGCUGAGCUGUCCAAAUUUACACAAAAUAAUGGCAAAAUUAUGGUGAUUUGUCUAGGAAAUUCUCUGUUCAGUGUGUCAUAAAUGGCAGUAUGGACAGGAUAUGAGCGCUAAAGCAGCGCCCUCAUUUGACAAAAAUAACAAUACAUGAGUCGCUCCACUCGCUGAAACCAAAACAACACCACGAUGAAGAAGAUAUUCUGGACGCAACACUUGUCAUGAGUCUGGUCUUGACUACAACACUGAUCCUGAUAAUGUGAGGGCGCUAUUUUUUAUUCUGAAAUUAUUACAGCUGAGAAAUGAAGCACUUCCAUAUGAUAUGCAUCGCAACAUGAAAAAAUUAACUGUUCAGACCUUUUUUAGAAAAGUAAUGCAUACAUCUGUACCAGAUACGAAUGUAUAUCACAUUUUUAUUAUUUACAAAAAUGACGACUGAUACAUUUCCUAGUUGUUUGUGACCAGCAAAGUUCAUUUCUGACCAAACAACCCUCCGUUGCUGAGAAAAAUGCACCCUGUCUUGGUUUUGCUCAGGACUCAGUGGACUCUGAAACGCAAGUGUAUGUAUCAAUUAAGUAAACACCUGGCUGAAACCUUCCAAGACAAAUGUCUGGUCCUUUAAUUUUUUUGAGUAGUGUAUGUUGGUAUGCAGUACAGUUUUAAUUUUUUUGAGUAGUGUAUGUUGGUAUGCAGUACAAUGCUGCUGUAAUGAACAGGGCAGGGUCUAUACACAGUGCUUGGCGUAGCAUACCUCACAUCUAUUCCUAUUUUAGUGGGUGAUAUUUGGCAGGGCUAAAAAUUGAACCAUUCCAAUUUGUGUGAAAAAGGGAGAAAAAAAUUCCUUGCAAGAGAGCACUCUUUGCUGUGUUGUAAAUGGUAGCUCUGAAUUUUCAAUGUUGAAAUCUUAGCUUUUGAGUUAUUAUCAUCAGUCCUACAUUUGUUUCUUUAAUUGUAAAGAAAUUUUCAAUGUUCCAAAAAAAUGCAUGGAAAAUCUGGGAGCCAAGGGGCAUGUUCCAUGUGCCCAAUGUUCAGCAUAGUGACAUUGCACUGUAUUCAUGACUUAAGAGGUACUUUUGUACAUUCAGAACAGUCAGACACAGUCGAUCAGUUUCCAUUAAAACAAAAACUACUGUUCACAAAUUAGCUUAUAUCUUUAACGCAUCUACAAGCAUAUUUACGCACAUUAAAACAUUCAUGUGUUCGUAGGUUUUCAAAAAGCUCUACUCCAAAAAUUCCAGUAUUUGUAUGAGAAGUUAUAACCAUUUGGAAAGACUGUAGACACUUGAUAGAUAGAACUUGCAUGAAAGUUUGUUACUCUUGCAUGCUUUUAAAAAUUGAAUGGUAAAUUAUGUAAUUCACAUCUUUGUUUCCCAUUGAGGCAGCCAGAAUAUCUGCCCUGUUCAGCCAACCUAGUGGCCAUUCUAGACCUCACUUCAACAAGUAUUUCCUUGUACAAAAUUCUAUCAGCAUUAUAUCUUUUCCAAGUCAUUAUUAAACUUAAAAUUACAUGUGUCACAAAAUGGAAAGUGACAAAUUGUUGGCUCAGAGCUAGGUCAUUAGGUCAUUUCUGAAGAAAUAUAAUUUUUGAAAAUAAAGCCUAAUUUUGAAAUUAUUGAAACAAACAUUUUUUAAACUUCUAGUCAUAAAAGUAGGUUUUUUACAGCCAACAUAUAUAAAUUUCAAGUAAUUUUCAUUCUCAAAUUGAUGUUUAGGUUUUUCAAUAAGGACCUUUCAGCACUGACACAAAAUUUGAUUUGUUUGAAAAUAUAGCCUUGCAAACUGCCUUUAGGUGCAUGUGAAAAAAUCACCAUUUAUUGCUAUGACUAGUAAAUUUCUAUUUGCAAGUGAAAUAAAUGUUCAUUUAUUUAAACUA